rnacentral:lncRNA from 1 species
GUGGAACUAUCUCCUGACACUUUUAAGACAGUUCUAGCUAGAACAGUUCUAACCAAGAACUGAUUUGGUCAUUGGUAAGUUCUACCUAGAACUGAUUUACACAGUUCAACCUGGAACUGAUCCUGACAGUUCCACGGCUAAAAAAAUCUACGACUAGAACAGAACUGCGACCUGAUUUCGCCACGAACGCAUCACGAUUGUUU